rnacentral:rRNA from 1 species
AUUGAACGCUGGCGGAAUGCUUUACACAUGCAAGUCGAACGGCAGCACGGACUUCGGUCUGGUGGCGAGUGGCGAACGGGUGAGUAAUAUAUCGGAACGUGCCCAGUCGUGGGGGAUAACGUAGUGAAAAUUACGCUAAUACCGCAUACGAUCUAAGGAUGAAAGCGGGGGAUCGCAAGACCUCGCGCGAUUGGAGCGGCCGAUAUCAGAUUAGGUAGUUGGUAGGGGAAAGGCCUACCAAGCCAACGAUCUGUAGCUGGUCUGAGAGGACGACCAGCCACACUGGAACUGAGACACGGUCCAGACUCCUACGGGAGGCAGCAGUGUGGAAUUUUGGACAAUGGGCGAAAGCCUGAUCCAGCCAUUCCGCGUGCAGGAUGAAGGCCCUCGGGUUGUAAACUGCUUUUGUACAGAACGAAAAGGUCUCUACUAAUACUAGGGGCUCAUGACGGUACUGUAAGAAUAAGCACGGGCUAACUACGUGCCAGCAGCCGCAGUAA